GGAGGGAUGGCUGAGUGGCCGAAAGCACCGGUCUUGAAAACCGGCGAGUCGAGAGGCUCCCUGGGUUCGAAUCCCAGUCCCUCCGCCA
rnacentral:tRNA from 2 species